GAGUUUGUAAGUAUUAUGCCCUAGGUCCAAUCAACUUUGGACAUAAAUACUUUUAUAUAUAAUUAAUGCAAUUAAAUGGCAGAUCUAUUAUUUAAUUAAUAGACAAUUAAAUAAAUAAUAGAGUCCGUAGAUUCAAAUAAUUGUAAUUUGUUAAUCACAAGGAGUUGUGAUUGUGAGAUACAAAUUACAUCUGAUUGAAUCUUAAAUCUUCCGUGGUCGUAAGUAAUAACGAGAUACGGAUAUCGUUAUUACGGAUAGACCAUCACAUGUGGCAUUUCU
rnacentral:lncRNA from 1 species